UACAGAGGGGGCAAGCGUUGUUCGGAAUUACUGGGCGUAAAGGGCGCGUAGGCGGCCUGCUAAGUCGAACGUGAAAUCCCCGGGCUCAACCCGGGAACUGCGUCCGAUACUGGUUGGCUUGAAUCCGGGAGAGGGAUGUGGAAUUCCAGGUGUAGCGGUGAAAUGCGUAGAUAUCUGGAGGAACACCGGUGGCGAAGGCGGCAUCCUGGACCGGUAUUGACGCUGAGGUGCGAAAGCUAGGGUAGCAAACGGG
rnacentral:rRNA from 1 species